GCCCAGGUGCUGAAAUUGGUAGACAGGCAUGGUUGAGGGCCAUGUGUCCGUUAGGGCGUGCGGGUUCGAGUCCCGCUCUGGGCA
rnacentral:tRNA from 3 species